UCCUGGUUAGCUCAAUCGGUAGAGCAACCGCCCCAGAAAGGCAUUGGUCCCAGGUUCAAUCCCUGGACCAGGAC